UACAGGGGGGGGCAAGCGUUGUUCGGAAUUACUGGGCGUAAAGGGCUCGUAGGUGGCCAACUAAGUCAGACGUGAAAUCCCUCGGCUUAACCGGGGAACUGCAUCUGAUACUGGAUGGCUUGAGUUCGGGAGAGGGAUGCGGAAUUCCAGGUGUAGCGGUGAAAUGCGUAGAUAUCUGGAGGAACACCGGUGGCGAAGGCGGCAUCCUGGACCGGCACUGACGCUGAGGAGCGAAAGCCAGGGGAGCAAACGGG
rnacentral:rRNA from 1 species